rnacentral:rRNA from 1 species
AGAGUUUGAUCCUGGCUCAGGAUGAACGACUGACAGAAUGCUUAACACAUGCAAGUCAACUUGUAAUUGGGUUUUUAACUUUAGAUUUGGGUGGCGGACGGGUGAGUAACGCGUAAGAACUUGCCUCACAGCUAGGGACAACAUUUGGAAACGAAUGCUAAUACCUGAUAUUAUGAUUUUAAGGCAUCUUAGAAUUAUGAAAGCUAUACGCGCUGUGAGAGAGCUUUGCGUCCCAUUAGCUAGUUGGAGAGGUAACGGCUCACCAAGGCGAUGAUGGGUAGCCGGCCUGAGAGGGUGAACGGCCACAAGGGGACUGAGACACGGCCCUUACUCCUACGAGAGGCAGCAGUGGGGAAUAUUGGACAAUGGACCAAGAGUCUGAUCCAGCAAUUCUGUGUGCACGAUGACGUUUUUCGGAAUGUAAAGUGCUUUCAGUUGGGAAGAAAAAAAUGACGGUACCAACAGAAGAAGUGACGGCUAAAUACGUG